rnacentral:rRNA from 1 species
UACGUAGGGGACUAGCGUUGUCCGGAUUUAUUGGGCGUAAAGAGCGUGUAGGCGGCCAGGUAGGUCUGCUGUGAAAACUCGAGGCUCAACCUCGAGACGUCGGCGGAAACCAUCUGGCUAGAGUCCGGAAGAGGAGAGUGGAAUUCCUGGAUGUAGCGGUGGAAUGCGCAGAUAUCAGGAGGAACACCGGUGGCGAAGGCGGAUCUCUGGGCCUUACCUGACGCUGAGGCGCGAAAGCUAGGGGAGCAAACAGG